rnacentral:tRNA from 1 species
GUGAGGGUUGCCAAGUCUGGUCAACGGCGCAGGACUUAAGAUCCUGUCACUCAACGUGUUCGUGGGUUCGAAUCCCAUCCCUCACA